CAGCUGGACCGUCCACCACCCGUUAUGUCAUCACAAACGGCAAUGUCAUUCUCAACCCUGGGAUCCCUGGUGGAGUUUUACAGGAGAUCCUCUGGAAACAUGGUGUAAACAAGGCGGUGGAAUGGAGCACUGACAGGAUACAGGAAUUUCGUGAUUUUAAAGGGAGGACAUCCUUGAACACCACGACUGGAGAAAUCACAAUCAGACAGCUGACCAUGCAGCUCAGUGGGGUGUAUGAGGCAGAGUGUGUGAUUGGUAAAAAAAUACAGACCUUUCAGCAGAGAGUGGAAGUCAUUGACCCAGUAUCACAACCUGACGGUCACCUGUGAAUUGAACGGUACCGUGGCAACAAUUCACUGCAGUGCUGAGGGUCCACUGUUAGAAUACCGCUGGUCUUGGCCUGACCACCAGGGGGAGAUGUGGAGCCAGGAGCAGACUGGACAGCACUACAACAUCACAUCCCCAGAGUCAGUCAGCUACACCUGUGAGGCCAGGAACCCAGUCAGUAAGAAGACACAGACAUACAACAGCAUCGACUGCCUGGCCACAGGUAAUCCUGUGAUCUACAUCUACACUGGUAUUGGUGCAGGUGUCUUGUUGUUGGUCGCUGUUGUGGUCUGGCUCGUCAAGAAGCGUUCCAAAGAUUUGCGGAGCACAGGGAAUGCCAGCCAUCUUGAAGAGGAUCGAGAGAAGGUGGUGGCAAUCAGCCAGGCAGAGAUUGUGGAAGAGGAGAAUAAGCUAUUACUAGAUGAAGAACUAAAGGACAGGGUCAAUCAGAUCAACCAGGCCAGUGAGGCUGUGAAAACUGGAGAUGGUGAGGGAGAGAAGAAACCAUUACUAGACAAGGCAGGAUCCACUGAUACAGAUGUUAUUGUGAGUAAUAUCCCGUUCAAACUGAACAACCAGAAUCAGGUUUGGGGUUGGGAGUCCGGAAAGAGACAGAGGGAAGAAAAAGAGCAGAACACAGAAUCCAAACAGAACAUGAACGUUACCUUGGGGACUGUUACCCAAGAUUCUGUCCAAACUGCUCCUCCAAAACCACCUCGGAGCAGCCUUAACUAUAAUUCACCGUACCCACAGACUCUGGAGACACAGCACAGCAGAGAGCAUCAUGGGAGAGGAACUGACCAAAGCAUGGCUGGUUAUGGCACAGAGAGAGAGGGAGCGGGAGAUGGACAGCUUAUGCCCCAGAAAGUCCUAAUCUUAGACACAGAGGAGGAGAGUGGAGGAAAGGAGGAGGGGACAAGAGAGGAUGGAGAAGAUGUUGAGAAGGAAUGUCAUCAUCAAUCCUGGGAUCCCUGGUGGAGUUCUACAGGAGAUCCUCUGGAAACAUGGAGUAAACAAGGAGGUGGAAUGGAGCAUCCCGACGGGAUACAGGAAUUUCGGGAUUUUAAAGAAAAUACAUCCUUGAACACCACAACAGGAGAAAUCACAAUCAGACAGCUGACCAAGCAGCUCAGUGGGGUGUAUGAGGCAGAGUGUAUGAUUGGUGGGGAAAUACAGACCUUUCAGCAGAGAGUGAAAUUCAUUGUCAUUGUCUCCUAA
rnacentral:lncRNA from 13 species